UGGGGUGCGGCACAGUGGUAGAGCACUUGCCUAGCAUGUAUGAGGCCCUGGGUUCGAUUCUCAGCACCACAU
rfam:Ictidomys tridecemlineatus contig117519, whole genome shotgun sequence.